UCUGGGCCGAAAGGUCUCAUCAUCUUUUAACUUUGAGAAACACUGUGUUAAACAAAAGCAAAGUUUUGGUCCAUAGAAUUUCUCAGAAUCUUUAGUGUACUACUGUGCGUAACAAAUCUCUAAAAGUAUCAUGGAUUUCCCAAAUUUUUGAAACCACGGAAUCCUCCCUUCAAGCAACAGAUUUUGGAACUAAGUUUCCGAAGAACACAGUUUGGAAAACACCGUGCUGAGCGUUUUUACGCAUACUGAAGGCAUCCUGUACGCCUGUAAGCGCCGCCUGCAGCGGAAAUGUAAGUUGGAGCCAAAGGCGAUGUUUCGACGUUAAAAUGCCCUGACACGGAAACAAAGGAGGGGAUAUUUACUGAUAAAGCUCCAGUAUAGCUCUUCACAGUCUCACUUUCUAACUUCCAUUGGUAAAGUUAAUUAGGUACGGUGGAGUGUGAUUUUAACUAAAACGCUGCCUUCAAUCUCAGAGGCCUUUCUGGGGAUUUACAUUUCCACAUUCCUUUUUACUCCUUACAGCUAGUUUAUAUUUUACUCCUGGCCAGAUUGCCUAUGUCUGACUCUCCCUUCUUAUCCCUAUCUGCACUGACAUUUGCCUGUUACCUUUCUGUAGGUCAGUUAAAGAUGUGCAACAGGUUUGCAACGCGCUCAGAUGGGCGCUCCUGAGAGCGGCCGUCUCCCUGCUCAGCAGGAUUUUAGCCAACCCACACAGCCUUGGGCCUAGCUCAUGACCGUCGGCAGGUAUCACCUCCAGGAACCACUGCCGCCUUUGCUGCCUUUCCCUCACGAAGGGUAAAUCCAAGAAGACCUCGAGGACAUUACGAGAAUCCUAAUCUAGGGGAGUCUAUUAUAGACAUUAAAUGAGAGUUUAUUCUGGGGACCAAUUAUUCAACAUCCGGAGGCUCUCCAGAGCACAUGUAAAAGAGACACUUCAACAGGUGUUGUUUAUGACUUCGCACCACAAUAGGAUGGUACUUGGAAACAAAGUACUACCCAAACUCUCUCCAGCAAUCAUUCCUAUUACGUAAGUGUCAUCUGGGUGUUAAUUAAAUGGGUUUUGCUUUGCUGGAUCUGUGAAAUCACU
rnacentral:lncRNA from 1 species